rfam:Parastrongyloides trichosuri strain KNP genome assembly, scaffold: PTRK_scaffold0000012
CCAACGGUCCUCUUUAGGACCAAUAAAAUAUUCUUAAUCUUUUGU